AACCUUUUUUAUCUUUCCUGAUUUCAGCACCAAUGUCCGGACGUCAUCAGCCAAUUCACAUGUGCAGCAAGCACCACUCGAGCAUUAGGCCUUCUCCCAUAGGAAAAUGUUGACUGAAUGCUUUUCUAUGGGGGUUUCCAACAUGCUGAAUGACCUCAUGCAAAGUAUGGUUUCAUGGAGACAAACUCAAGAGUUUAUCUGAAACUGCAAUGUUUUACAAUGCACACAGAUAACAUCAAUGAGAGGUUGUGGUAAAAGGACCCAUAGUGUCCCUUUAAUGGUGACUUCUGUAGACAGGUAAUUUGGAAAGUUUUUCUGACACUAUUGAAUUAUUUGGAAAAGCUUUUUAAAAUUGAGGCCCUAGUUAGGGUACCCGAUAUGGACAUCAGACUGUGUUUAGUUCAUAGUGACACUUCCUUAUGAGUAACCAGGCUUAACAAAGACCUAUACAUGGGUCACAUCUUUAUACAGGUCAUUUAUAAAUCAGAACAUACCUUCCUAGUAUUUCUGGGAUCCAGGGUAUAUAAUGGAUAGUGCAUUUUGGGGACCUAAAAGAGCAGGGAAAGUCUCAUAUUCAACGUGUAUUACAAGUUUUAGACGUGCCCCACACUGAUACAGUCUUCUGUUAGCCUAGUCAUAGCAGCUAUGGUUUAGAGUAGACCCAGGUCUGUGCUAUUCCAUGAGCCAUGUCAAUCUGUAUAGGACGGAGAGUGAGCCACGUGUAACACAACAGCGUGCACCAGUGUGGAAUGAAGGCCAUUUAAGAGCUUUAUGGUUGUGAUCUGAUUUUGUUUCAAUCUAUGAAGUCAACAAACUUUAAGAUCUCAUGUAAAUUCAAAAUGCCAUUAACUGUAUGAAACCUAGAAUUGUAAUUAAGUAUUUGGCAUCAUUUAUUCUAAUAAUAUUCAAGAUGCAUUAGUAGUUUCUGAGCCUGACAUGCCAUUAUGUUAAAAAAAUAAAUCUUUUUGACUCAGCAGUAGGUGAUAUGCACUACAAAUUUAUUGAGGUCCUCGUAGCUAACAGAACAAUGUUUCCGUCUAUAGAUAAAGCUUAGUUGAGAAAGACCUAUCACUAGGUCAAAAUGUUGUUCUGUGUUCUGUAAGAACCUCAAUAAAUGUUGGUUGCAUUUCACCUACUGUUGAGUUCUAGACUAUUUUCUACAGAGUUGUAAGUUGGUUACAGAGCCAGAGUCUGUUUUGCUCCAUCACAGGAGUGAGUACAUUUAUGGGUGGGUGCAAGUAGUUUUUCUUUGUCGUUAUCUUUGAUUUGCUAUAGGAAAAAGUUCUCUGAACAAAAUUUAUGGAGGUCGCUACCACCUAACUCCUACAGAUGUGCCUCUGCACGGACAUAAAAUUGCAGUGAGUAGUGUCCCUUUACGGGUUCAAAAGACACUUGUUGGGCUGAAAAGUUGCCUGCUGUUAGUUUAUAAUAAAAAAAAGAAAUGAGGAGGA